AUACCCACCUUUUCUUUCUACCUACCUCUAGCAAAUCCCGGUGGGAUUUCUGGAUACUUAAAUCUGCCUGACUUGGAUUCCCAAGGAUGUUGAGAUGAAAUGGGACAGAAGCCAAGAGAACUAAAGAAUGCAAUCAGGGACGCGGGGAGGCAAAGCCAGCUCUUCAAUGGUGACCAUAACUGUUAAGUCUCUUCUUUGCAAGAAAUUCAGCAUGAGUGAAUUUAGCAGCAAUUUUAUAAGAUCCUCAUGUGCAAGACCAACCGGAAAGAAGAAACAGUUUGAGGGCUUGUGUGGAGUGUGGAGCAGCACACUGUAGCAAUACCACAUCAACUUCAAAGUGCCCUUUGUGGAAUCAGAUGGAAAAUUCUGUGAGAUGAAAUUUUAAAGAAAUGCUUGCCAGCCA
rnacentral:lncRNA from 1 species